CUCUCGGUAGUUUAGUGGUUAGAACGCUGGGCCUUCAACCCGGAAACCGGGGUUCGAUCCCCCGUCGAGAGACCA
rnacentral:tRNA from 1 species